UUCCAGACUCCUACGGGAGGCAGCAGUGAGGAAUAUUGGUCAAUGGGCGCGAGCCUGAACCAGCCAAGUCGCGUGAGGGAGGACGGCCCUACGGGUUGUAAACCUCUUUUGCCGGGGAGCAACGGGCGUCACGUGUGGCGUCACUGAGAGUACCCGAAGAAAAAGCAUCGGCUAACUCCGUGCCAGCAGCCGCGGUAAUACGGAGGAUGCGAGCGUUAUCCGGAUUUAUUGGGUUUAAAGGGUGCGUAGGCGGAAUGCCAAGUCAGGGGUAAAAUCGCGGGGCUCAACCUCGCUCCGCCGUUGAAACUGGCGUUCUUGAGUGGGCGAGAAGUAUGCGGAAUGCGUGGUGUAGCGGUGAAAUGCAUAGAUAUCACGCAGAACUCCGAUUGCGAAGGCAGCAUACCGGCGCCCAACUGACGCUGAAGCACGAAAGCGUGGGUAUCGAACAGGAUUAGAUACCCUAGUA
rnacentral:rRNA from 1 species